rnacentral:rRNA from 1 species
UACAGAGGGGGCAAGCGUUAUUCGGAAUUAUUGGGCGUAAAGGGCGCGUAGGCGGCCCUGUCAGUCGGGUGUGAAAGCCCGGGGCUCAACCCCGGAACGGCACCCGAGACGGCAGGGCUGGAGACCGGGAGAGGAGGGUGGAAUAGCCAGUGUAGAGGUGAAAUUCGUAGAUAUUGGCUGGAACACCGGUGGCGAAAGCGGCUCUCUGGCCCGGUUCUGACGCUGAGGCGCGAAAGCGUGGGGAGCAAACAGGG